CCUGGUUGAUCCUGCCAGUAGUCAUAUGCUUGUCUCAAAGAUUAAGCCAUGCAUGUGUAAGCACACACUGUUUUAAAAGUGAAGCCGCGAAUGGCUCAUUACAACAGCCACAGUUUAUUAGAACUUACAAUCAUGGAUAACUGUGGUAAUUCUAGAGCUAAUACACGCACAAAAACUUCAACUGAAUUGGUUGAAGUGCUUUUAUUAGAACAAAAACCGAACGGCGUUUGGCGAAUGUUGAACGUCGAAACUGUUUGGUGAAUCUGAAUAACUAUUUCUGAUCGCAUGGUCUAGCACCGGCGACAUCACUUUCAAGUGUCUGCCUUAUCAACCUUCGAUGGUAGUCUAUGCGACUACCAUGGUGAUAACGGGUAACGGAGAAUCAGGGUUCGACUCCGGAGAGGGAGCCUGAGAAACGGCUACCACAUCCAAGGAAGGCAGCAGGCGCGCAAAUUACCCUCUCCCAGCUUGGGGAGGUAGUGACGAAAAAUAACGAGACGAUUCUCGUUUGAGAAACGUUAUCGAAAUGAGUACGCUUUACACACGCUAACGAGUAGCAAUUGGAGGGCAAGUCUGGUGCCAGCAGCCGCGGUAAUUCCAGCUCCAAUAGCGUAUAUUAAAGUUGCUGCGGUUAAAACGCUCGUAGUUGAAUUGUGGUCUUAGACAACAGUCCCCCUACAUAGGUGUGGCACGGUUGCUCGAGAUCUUCAUUCGUGGUUGCUGUUGUUGCUCUUCAUUGAGUGUCAAUGGUGCCUCGAGAUUUUACUUUGAAAAAAUUAGAGUGCAUACACGAGUGUUCAUAUGUAUUAGACGAAUAUUGAAAGUUUUUUAUCUUUGAAAUCAGUGGAAAGAAAUGGCAAAGCGGCUAGUAUUUCGUCGUCGUUUAUCGUAUAACACUGCGUCGAACAGACGUAAAGUGUCGAAA
rnacentral:rRNA from 1 species